CACAAUACAAAAUAUCUUCCAUCUAGAAAUUUUCAUCCAACCUUUAAAUAACUCUUCAUCUUCUCUUCAGAACAGAUUGUCCAUCUUCCUGAUAUAUCAAGUUUGUUUAGUCUCCUGUUGUUUCAAUUCCAGAGAAAUCAAUGGAUGAUGAUGAUGAAUGUAGUGCACAUGAAACUAGUGUAGGGGUGAACGAAUCCAAAGGACCUCUACAGAAGAAAAUGAGGCAGUUAAAAUCAUCCUUCUGGAGGUAUUUCAAGAAGAUUGGUAGAGAUAAAGAUAGAGUGGAAAAAGCAAUAUGCAGAGGUUAUAAGGAACCAUAUAAGGUUGGUUCUACUCUUGGACCUAAUGGUAAAAAUUAUGGAGCAUCACAUUUGAAACGUCAUUUAACUAAAUGUAAAAAGGUUAAGUUCUAUGAUUUGGAUCAAAUGUAUAUGGAUCAGCAAGGUAACAUACAAACGAGAAAGAUUGAUCAGUUGAUUUCCUGUGAAAAGCUUGCUUAAGCUAUUAUUGAGCAUGAUCUGCUGUUGAAUAUAAAAAAAUUAGAGCUUGGGUAGAUUAUGUAAAUUCAGAAUUGGUAAUGCCAUCAAGGAACAUUUCUGUUGUGGAUGUCCAGAAAGUGUAUUUCACAGAGAAAGAAAAAUUAAAACAAGCGUUGGCGAAAAUUCCUAAUCGAGUUUGCUUGACUUCUGAUUGUUGGACAGCAGGUGGACUCUUCUUCGGCAAAAAAGCAGGCAGCAACUAUAAAUUUAAAAUUAUGCAACCUCUAUGAUCAGUACGCAAAUAAUAAAAUAGGGGCAACUGCUCCUACUACUCGGUAUAAACCAACUGAAGAAGGAAGUCAAUCCAAACAAAAGAAGUCUACUUUGUUUGCGUUAAUAGGAAUUUAAAGAGUUUGAGGGUACAUCAGUUUGCACUGCUGGAAAGUCAGAAUUGGAUAUUUAUUUGGAUGAAAAGAAGUUCAAUUAUCAGACUUUCAAUGAGAUGGAUGUUAUCAAGCAUUGGAAAGAUAAUGAAAAAAAGUGUUUCAAUUAUCACCGUAGCAUCUGAAUCGGCAUUUAGUAUUGGUUGUUGUGUUGUUACCAAAUAUAGAAACUCUAUCCAUCAUGAAAAUGUUCAAACUCUUGUCACUACCAGAAAUUGGUUGCAUGGAUUUACUCAAUUUGAUGAAGGUGAUAUUUUUCUAUCUAAUCUAUUAGUAUAUUACUCUUCUUAUGAAAGUAUUUGUGAAUAAAUCUUGUAUGGUGAACUGUAGAUGAAGAUAAACAUCUUAAAGAAAUAAUAUCACAUGUUGAUUCAAAUGUGAUCGAUGGUACAAGUGGAAGCAAAAGGGGAGGUGGAGUCGUAACACUUUAAUUAAUGGAUCAUGUAAUAUUUAGCAAUUUAGAUUUAUUAAGUAUUUGGGCUGCUUUGUGUUGCUGGAAAUCUUUUUAAAUCAAUUAGUUUUUUUGUGGCAGGAAUGGUGGGAUGAUAAACAUUUAUCCGCUAAAUCUUACGUUGGCUAUUAUGUAUUUUUAUAAGUAUUCACCAAAGUCUGUG